rnacentral:misc_RNA from 1 species
UAACCAAUCAAGCCCUGUUUGGUAUUAGAGCACGUAGUAUAGCGGCUCUCAAAUCUAUUAGCAGUGUCAGUGGGCUCUAAGCGUAGUAAUAUUCCUCGCUACAGAGUUCCCUCUAGGGACUUGCCAAAACCCCCAACUUCUCAC